rnacentral:tRNA from 1 species
GGGGGUAUGGCUCAGUGGGAGAGCCCUUGCCUUAUAUGCAAGGGCCUAGGUUUAAUCCCAGCACUGCCA